GACACGCUGGCGGCACGCCUAACACAUGCAAGUCGAACGGACUUAAACGGAGCUUGCUCUUUUAAGUUAGUGGCGGACGGGUGAGUAACACGUGAGCAACCUGCCUUUCUGAGGGGGAUAACGUUUGGAAACGAACGCUAAUACCGCAUAACAUAUAUUUAUCGCAUGAUAGAUAUAUCAAAGGAGCAAUCCGCAGAAAGAUGGGCUCGCGUCUGAUUAGCUAGUUGGUGAGGUAAUGGCUCACCAAGGCAACGAUCAGUAGCCGGACUGAGAGGUUGAACGGCCACAUUGGGACUGAGACACGGCCCAGACUCCUACGGGAGGCAGCAGUGGGGAAUAUUGCACAAUGGGGGAAACCCUGAUGCAGCGAUGCCGCGUGGAGGAAGAAGGUUUUCGGAUUGUAAACUCCUGUCUUCAGGGACGAUAAUGACGGUACCUGAGGAGGAAGCACCGGCUAACUACGUG
rnacentral:rRNA from 1 species